rnacentral:lncRNA from 1 species
UUUUUUUUUUUUUUUUUCCGUGAACUUACUAAUUUUGCUCCCUGGCACAAAUGUAUUUUUAGUUUCAAUAUGCACAAGUGGUUAAUUUUGUUUCCUUUUUUGAUAUUUUUUCUCUUUAAUAGAAACUAGUCUUUUAAAAAUCAUUUCUCAUAGGUUCUAUUUUCCUAUUCCUUAAUUAUUAUUUUUAUUUUUCUGAAAUUUUUUAUUUCUUCCUCUCUUUGGAAGUUGAGAAUAAAGAUAAACAUAGUUCCUUAAUAAUGUUUGCUUAAAAGCAUUAUUUUUUGUCCUUGCAAAUAUCAAGCAACACAUGCGUGUGAGUGUGUGUCUACGUUUGUGUUGGAGUACAUUCCGGCAUUUUUCUCCACAGUCAUAUGUAAGCCACACAUACAGACCCAUCUAUGUCUCUUUUCAUAUUUACUUAUAAAGAUCUGUAUUGCCUAGUAUUUAAUCAUACAGACUCUGAAGCUCAACUGUGUCAACUCAAACAUAGCCUAGUUAUUUGUUGGCUCUGAGACUUCAGCGAUAUUACCUUUUUAAAAACCUCAGUAUCCUCAUCUUUAAGAUGAAGGUGAUACUAGGUCUUGUGUCCUAAGUUUCUCAUUAGGAAUAUAGUAGUUAAUGUAUGUAAAGCACUUAGAAGAGUGUUGGGCAUAUUUUUUAAGUACUGUAUAAGUAUUAGCUUUCAUCACUGGUUUUCCUUUCUUCCUUCUUUCUUUCCUUCCUUCCUCUCCCCCAGCACGUGCGCAACACACACACAAACACACACACACACACACACACACGAGCCAAGGUUUCUUCUCAAUGAUAUUAAGAAGUUAAAUUAAGACCUUUAAACUACAAAACAUUUGACAUAUACCAAAGAGCCUUACUUAUUAGAUUCUUAAUAAACGAUUACAUGUAACAUGUUUAAGAAAAUAACAAUAACCAUCACAUUUUUGGUACUGACUUUGUCAAAGGCUCUUUGUCGUGCUCUGCACAUAUUAUGUCAUUUAAUCCUCAUAAGUAGCCUAAGAAGCUGUUACUAUUUUUUUUCUCAUUUUGAAAUUAAAGAACUUUAUUUUCAGCCAGGCUGGGUAACUCAGCCCAGGUUACACAACUGUUUCAGCCUUGCAGCCAGCCAAGAUUUUAAACCAGUUCUAGAAAAUUUUAAUAUCUGCACUCUUUUUAGUGAUCUAUGCUCUCUCCCCAAGUUUAAUAAACAUAAAAUUUUAGAAGCAAACAUUUUUAUUUCUUGAAUAUACUCGUCAAUUCUGAUUCUUUAUAAGAACAAUAGCAUCAAAACUGGAUUUUGCCUGGGAACAGAAUAAUUAUUUUAGUGUUUUGUACGGGCAAUACCCACC